AGCCCAUGGUGUGGGCACUUUCUUAGCUUUGUCUUGAAACGUUUCCAUGCCUCAUAUAAGGAAUCACCUUGUAUUGUUUAAAAUUUGUGAUUUCUCGUCAAAGUU
rnacentral:snoRNA from 1 species